AUAAGUUGCCAUCCUUCUCCUUUACGGACUCGUAAAUGUACCGUAGGCGGCUAGGAGAGGGGUGGCGACAAUGGUGGUUAGUGCUGGGAUUGAACAGAUAUAGAAUCAAGGCAUAACCUAAAAUGAAUGCAAGGUAUACUAUCCUAACAUUAAACGUAUUAUUCUAAGAAAAAUAACAUGUGUGUGUCAAUAGUAACAAAAAUUGCAAGAUUUGUACUUUAAGUACACGUGCGGAAUCAUAUAAUUACAGGGUCUGGUUCAACAUCAAUUUUGGCUCAUUUAGUUAUGAAAGUUACUUCAAGAGCUCAAUAAGUGAAGACUUUUAAGAAUAAAGUAAUUUCAUUGACUGUGUAAUACGGCAGGAUAUGAGAAAAUACAUCAUGGCGUACUCUCUCGGCUAAAGGAUGGUUUACUUACUUAUAAGAUACAUUUUAUUCCCCGUAUAAGAAAAAAGGCUCAAUUGUUAUAAAUAAUGUUUAAAAAAUAAAAGUAUGAAGAUUUCAGUAUUCGUCCGAAUUUAUGAAAUUAAAAAUUCAUUAUUCAAAAAUAAAAGGUCAUGUUAUUGAACAAAGUUGCUUCAGUUGCUUCCGGGAUACGUCACGAAUACGUCUCUGAUUGGCCAAAAGCGAAACAUGGCGGCCAUCGCGCCAUCGCGGCGGCCAUAGCACGAAGUAGUGUUGCUACAGUUACAGUAAGAAGAUUACCCGAAAUGUCGGGAGAAAAUUACGACUCGAAAGGAUUAACCGGAUAACUUCAGUGAAGAGAAGAAAUUAUUUUACAAACGGAUUCGACUUGGAAGGCAGUAAUGAGAAUUUUCUUAUAAGAUGAAUGUGUAAUUAAGUCAAACGGUCAUACUGAACUGUGUAUAGAUAUAAGUCGGUAAGAAUUUUGUCUUUGUGUUCGUAAUUAUAUUGGAUUGAUUAGUAUAUAAGCUAGAAGAUCUUUUCAGGGAUAAGAAGAGAAGCACUAGCCUAUGGUAUACUGCAGGUAUAUCUUAUAAGUCUUAUAAGACAAGCGUAAAAUAAGAAGGGGCAGAGGAAUUUUCCGCUUUGAAUUUUACUUGAUACAUGUGUGUUAAACUUAAUUAGAAUUAAGAUUUUAGUAUUAAGUAUUUGUAUAAAAGUAAUAACGAUGCAUCUAAAAGGACCGAAGAAGAAACAAGUUACGGUUAGUUUAUUCGUUAAAUAUGUCAGAAAUCAGGGAGUUCUGACUAAGGCUGGCAACACUAAUUCCCGUAGAGAAUACGCUUUACUUUGAAACUUUGUUUACGGAGAAGCUGCAACAGCGCUGGUUCCCAAGAAGUUUGCAUCCAGUUUAUAGGAAGACAAAAACACGAACCGGCCUCCGUGAACCAUCACGGACUUGACACACCACCGGAUUAGACGAGAAAAGAGAAAAGAAAUUCCUCGGACAAGAUGGACGAGAUUCUCUUAAUCAGACUUCGAAUCACCAGUGAAAAAAUUGGUGCUGAAUUGGAAACAAUACCCAGUACGGUUCGGUCAGAAAACAUAGGACAGGCUCAGGUCGUCUAUAACAGACUGCAAGCUGCAGUGAAUAGGCUCAACGCUAAUUUAUCAGAAUACUUUCGUUUAGCUACAACUCCUGCAUCAGAUGAAAUUUUCUUGAUUAGUGGCCAGCAGCUUUUAGCAGAAGAGACUUUAGCAGAACUCAAGGCGAAGAUCGACCAAGUCACCGUAUCCCGUGAGACCCAGGAAAAGCCGCCUGAAGUGAAUUCCUCUUGUCGACUACCGAAACUCCAACUACAGGUUUAUAACGGGGAUGUGCU
rnacentral:lncRNA from 1 species